UAUUGAAAUUUUUAUUUGUUUAGGGAUUUUAAAAGGAAUUAUGUGUUUUAGUAAUUUUAAUGAAAUAAUAAUUUUAAUUAUAGAUUAAUAGUACAGUGGAGGAAAAUGUAAAAUUAUGAAAAGAAUUUUUUAUUUAAGGUACCUUUUGUAUCAGGGUUUAUUAAAAAGGGUUUAGAUUUUAAGUUUUCUCGAAUUUAUAAGAGCUAAAAAUAUAUAAAUUUUAAUGUAAAAAAAUUAUUUAUAAUAUAUUUUUUGAUAUUAUACGUUAGUCGGGUAUAAAUAUAUCUAGUUUUUUAAGAAAUUAAUUUAAUUAAGCUGGUUUUUAGGGUUAUUUAUUUUAUAAAUAGGUCCAAUAAUUAAGUAAUAUUUAAGGGGAUAAGCUUUUAAGUAGAAUUUUAUAAGAAGUUUACAAUUUAAAGUUGAGUAGGAAUAGAAGUUUUCAUUUUUUAUAGUGUUUUAUAUCAAGACUUUAAUUUAGGUGAUUUUUUUUUUUUUAGUUUGUUUAUUAAAAUAUUAAAAUUAAUUUAAUAGUUUUAAGUAAUAAUGAUAAAAUUAGUAUAGAAAUUUGUUUAAAUAUUUAUAAAUAUGAAUUUUAAUUAAGGAAUUCGGCAAAUAUAUUUUCUGCCUGUUUAUUAAAAACAUGGCCUUUUGGGAAUAAUUUAAGGUCAGGCCUGCCCCAUGAUUAAUUAAAUGGCCGCGGUACUCUGACCGUGCAAAGGUAGCAUAAUCAUUAGUUUUUUAAUUGAAAGCUGGAAUGAACGGUCUUACAAGAAAAUUACUGUCUCAAUUAAAUUAUUUUAGAAUUUUAUUUUUUAGUUAGAAAGCUAAAAUGUUUUAAGGGGACGAGAAGACCCUAUAGAAUUUAAUAAGUUUUUUUAGAUUGAAUUUUUAGUAUUAUUGUUUUGGUUUAGAAAUAUUUAUUUUGUUGGGGUGAUUGGAAAAUUUAAUAAACUUUUUUUUUAUAAGAUUACUAAUGUGUAUAUUUAUGAUCCGUUUAUUACGAUUAAAAGAAUAAAUUACCUUAGGGAUAACAGCGUAAUUAGUUUGGAGAGUUCUUAUCGAUAAACUAGUUUGCGACCUCGAUGUUGGAUUAAAAUUAACUUUUGGUGUAGGGGCUAAAAGGUUAAGUCUGUUCGACUUUUAAAAUUUUACAUGAUCUGAGUUUAAACCGGCGUGAGCCAGGUUGGUUUCUAUCUCUUAAUAGUUUUAAUAUUUUAGUACGAAAGGACCAAGUAUUAGUUUUAUUAAUUUAUUUUUGAAUAUUAUUAUUG
rnacentral:rRNA from 1 species